CAGCCGCCGCGGUAAUACGUAGGUGACAAGCGUUAUCCGGAAUUAUUGGGCGUAAAGGGUGCGUAGGCGGCUAAUUAAGUACAAGGUUAAAGUUCAGAGCUCAACUCUGUGAUGCCUUGUAAACUGGUUGGCUAGAGUACAGGAGAGGUGAGUGGAAUUCCAUGUGUAGCGGUAAAAUGCGUAGAGAUAUGGAGGAACACCAGUGGCGAAGGCGGCUCACUGGCCUGUAACUGACGCUGAGGCACGAAAGCGUGGGGAGCAAAUAGGAUUAGAUACCCUAGUAGUCCACGCCGUAAACGAUGAAUACUAAGUGUUGGAGUAACAUUCAGUGCUGCAGUUAACGCAAUAAGUAUUCCGCCUGGGGAGUAUGCACGCAAGUGUGAAACUCAAAGGAAUUGACGGGGGCCCGCACAAGCGGUGGAGUAUGUUGUUUAAUUCGAAGCAACGCGAAGAACCUUACCAGGUCUUGACAUGGUCCUAAAGGCCCUAGAGAUAGGGAGAUAGUUAUAGGACACACAGGUGGUGCAUGGCC
rnacentral:rRNA from 1 species